CCUUAAACUUAGAUAAAAUUUUCUGCACAUCCCCUCUUCACUCAGUUUGCUCCCCCCUUGCUUCUCCACCAAAAUCUGCAGAAACAAGGCCUUUCCCUUCAUGACAGAAUUAAGCAUAGCCUUAUUACUGCUGCUCUCCACCGUGGGGUCACUUAAACUCAGCCCCACCAAUUCUACCCUCUUUCCCUUGUGCAAGAAUUUCAUGGUAAGUUGGGAAAAAUCCCAAACUAUGGAUCCCAAUGUUUCCAGCAAUUUAAUACCUAAAACCACAUCACACCCACCAAGCUGUAGUAUAGAGAAAGAUCUCUGUUGAUGACCAGUCUGUGUUGGUUGUAAUCUGGUAAAAGGAAAAGCAAGCACGCGAUGGAAGCAACAAUACAAGAAUGGCACAGCAAGUGUUUCAUGGAAAAACUGAGAGAUAAAAGCGUUCUCACGCUGGGCUAGUUCGAGGUAGCCUCUUAAACUCAUCCCCACCAAUUCUACCUUCUUUCCCUUGUACAGGAAUCUCCGGAGCCUAAUUACUUGCCCAUUUUCGAACCAUCCCAUGAAUCCCAAUAUAGCGAAGCUGGUCACGGAUGGGUUCUACAAUCAAAGCCCGUGCCAAGCUCACUUCAGCUCUACAUGGGUAUUUACGCAACGACUUCCCACGCUUUACGUCUCUGAAACUGCCCUACACCACACGUGCUCUCAAGCUUUUCGAUGAAAUGCCUGAAAGAAAAAUAAUCUGGUUUCACUCAAUGCCGUACUUUCUGGUUUUUAGAAUGGGUAUCGUAGAGACCCAGAACAUAAAAACAAGAUGGGUUUGGAACGCUCAGGGCCACAGGCUGAAUUCCAGGACUAUGAGUUACUUCCAUGUCGGCAACUUUUUGGGAUGAUGAGUACGAGGCGAUCGUUUGAAACCAAAAUAGGAGUAAACUGGUUGCGUGGUGGAUCUGUUUGGCCGAUCUAGUGAUUUUGGUCGUUUGAAUGAAGCUCUGUGGGUUAAUACAAAAAAUUACCAAGCAUUUGCAUCUGUUAUUGCUUCGUUCCCCAAACAAAUGGCAUUAAAGCUUUCGGAUUUAGAGCCAGAAAAUCCAACUCCUUUUGUAAUCCUUUACAAUAUGCAUGCUGCAUUUGGAAGGUGUAGGGAUGUGAAAUGAUUAAGGUUAUAAUGAGGGAUAAAAUUAUAAAGGGUUGAGAAAGCACCCUGGCUUUACUUGCCCAAAAAAAGAUGCACCCUUGCUUUAGCUUUAGAGGAUAAAUAUGAAAAGUACAUACAUGGUAUUUAAGUUGUUGUUCUCUGGUCCUAAACCAGAUUUUGUUACAUAUCUCCACUUCCAUAAAUUUGAAAGGAUUUCCGCACCUGAAGCAUCACUACUCUAACAUUUCCUUCACCACAAACCCAAAGUAGUUAUCAAAGUGGUUGGAUGGUUCAUAAAUGAAGCAAGAAAUCACAUCUCUAAGUGUAAUGACGCCAACAACUUCAUCCUCCUCUCCAGCUACCACAUAAAUCCUGUGGACUGAUCUUGAAGCAAGUUUGUGGAUCACACUGCUCAGAGUUGAAUUGGGUUUGCAUGUAAUUGGAGGGACGACUUUGCUGGCUUCUUGGGAAGCAAUGAUGUGCACGAAAUCCAUCACAGUCAGCUUCCUGAAUGAAACGGCGAAUAGAAUAAAGUCGACAGUCAAGACUAACAUGGAGGAGCAAGUUAACAUGAGGAUAGAUUGAUAUGCCUGUAGAAUCAACUCACUGCCCUGGAUGCUUACAACCUGGCCAAGGAGACAAAGGAACAUUUUGGAAGUAUGAAUUCAAUAGUGACCUAGAAGAACACUCAUUUAACAGUGCAAAGCUUACCUCUGCAGAAGACAUGAAAGGAAGUCCAAAAUCAGAUAUAGGCUGUGCAGCAAUGCUGUCAAACCAGUCCCUUCCUGCACAACCCUCAAGAACCUGAACGACUGCGGAUUGAGUAAUGAAGUUCUUUAUCUCUGGCUUGCCUAUUUCAAUUACAGCUGUGGGAGCAUCUUUUCCCAUCCUUUUAUCUGCAGCAACACCACCAGCCACUGCAGCACCAACUGCAGCAGCUGUUAGCCCCACCACUGCAGCAGGCCCUGUCGCACCCAAUGCUAGUGCCCCAAGAGCGCCAACUGCGCCUGCACCAACUCCAGCGGCUGUUGCUGAACUAGCCGAUAGGGCAACAGCAGCAACUUCUGCACUCUCCAAGACCCACAGAACAAUGGCAGAGUAAUCUAUGAUCCCUAGGUACCUAUCUCUCCAAUCUGAACUAUUUCCUUUGUCAGGGUUUCUCACAGGAGCCGAAAAAAUGUUGCAUUCAGAUAAAAUCUUUACAGCAUCAGCAACGGAAGUGUCUGCUGAAAUUUCAAUCACUACAGGAUAUAUAGGCAAUAUGCAUGGCUGUCUUUAGUGAUUCAGAUAUGCUUUCCUUCAAUUCAUGCCAAGUAAAUGAACCAAGUACUGCUAAAACUUUACAAGACUAAAACACAACAAUUUUGUUGAU